AGCUGGGUAGCCUCAAGGUAGAGCACUUGAAAGAACCUCCCCACUAUGGAGUGGCUUCACAUUUACCUCCUGCCCCUUGUUUUCUCCACAGGUCUUUGUGCCCUGCCUGUGCUGACCCAGACGUCAUCUGCAUCUGCCUCCCUGGGAGCCUCAGCCACACUCACCUGCACCCUGAGCAGUGAGCACAGCAACUACUACAUUUUAUGGUAUCAGCAGAGGCUGGGGAACAGCCCCCAGUAUGUAAUGAAGGUGAACAGUGAUGGCAGCCACAGCAAGGGGACUGGGAUCUCUGACUGCUUCACAGGCUCUAGUUCUGGGGCUAAUCGUUACUUAAAAAUUGCCAACAUCCAGCCUGAGGAUGAAGCUGAUUAUUAUUGUGGAGAGGAUCAUACAAUUGAUGGCCAGAGCGGGUAA